rnacentral:lncRNA from 1 species
AAAACUUUUUUAUUUUCCCUCUUUCUCAUUAUCAAACCGCUAUCCAACCACGUUUCCCAACCUAAUUCUGGUGAUUAAAGGGAAAAUCGAACUUGACGACUUGUUCAAUCGCUAGAAGGAGUCAACUGCCGGUGAUCGGAGGGUUACCAUUGGUUCAAUCGCAACCACAACCACCUUCAAUUUUAGACAGUAUGUGUAGGCGCCAACAGCUACGUUCACUUCUACAGACAUUAGUAAAAUGCAAGAUUAUCAAUCAAAUUCUCAUGAUGCACAUGGAAAAGGAAAUGAGUAUUUGGAAGCUAGACUAGUGAGGAUUCAGGAGAACCAAAAAAGACUACGAGAAUUUGGAGUUAAAAACAUUGUGGACUCUAUGGAAGUCUGGUAGACAGUAACAAAAUGAAGAAAAAACAGUGAAGAACACUCAUGCGGGGGAUGUAGACUAUAUUCCAGAUCCAGGUGAUGUUUGUGAGGAAGAUAUCCAACAAGUUGGUAGAAGUGUUAUAGUACCCAAAAAGCGACAACGUUCACAAUAUAUUCCACCAAUGUCCAUGAAUAGAGCUGCUAAUCUCAUGAAACUACGCUGGGUGCUUGCUCCAAAUGUCUCUCAAAAGGUUCCAUCUACUUCAAAUGCAACAAAACCGAAUAAAGCAGGAGCAUAUAGAAGGAUGAUUCUUGUUGAUGAGGAUGACGACGAGGACGAGGAAAUAUUUCAAGGUAUUAUUUUGUUAAUCUUAAACUUUAUUCAAUCAAAAGUACCUUUUGUCCUCUAUGCUUUAAGAAGGUAACACAGUGGAUAUGAAGGUAGAUGACGCGUAUAAAGACAUAGACGAUACAAUAGACGAGAUACAAAUGGUAGAUCACAACUAUUCUGAAGAUGAACACAAUGAUCAAGAACAAUUGCACGGCCCUGAAAAAGAUAAAGCAACAGAGGUGCUCCCAAAAAGGUUAGAGGUCAUACCCAAAAGGCCGAAAUAUGGAAAAUGAAUUCUACUGAAAGAAUAGCCGUCACAUUUAACGACUUUGGACAACCAGUGGGGGAAGAAGGCAAAGGACUUGUUCGGUAUCUUGGGACACUUGUGAGGAUGGCUGAUCAUGUAUCAAUUAAGUAUUCUGACUGGAGAAAAAGUUCCCAUGAAAAAUAAAGAGGAUAUGUAUUCACUUGUUAAGUCCAAAUUUGUUAUUCAUCCAGAUGAAACAGGUCAGGUUAAAGAAUGGAUAUUCCAAAACAUGGGGAAAAAUGGAGAACGUGGAAAGGUUUAUUAAAGUCACGUGGAUAUGAUCCCAGCCUUACUAGUGACAAAAUUGUGACGCAACAUACUAAUAAUGACGAUAGAGUGAAUCCAACUCAAUUUAAAGAACUUGUUACUCAUUGGUUCACUCUGAAAUUUCAGACUACAUGCGCUGCAAAAAGAUUGAGCCGCUCAAAGAUGAAGGAGCCUCAUGUAACCGGGACAAAGUCGUUUGCUAGACUUGCUCAUGAAGUGGCAACGAAGAAUGAUGGUGUAUACCUGACCCGAGGAGAAAUGUGUAUAAUAACAACUCGCACUCAUAAAGACGAAAGUUUUGUUGAUGAUAAAGCAGCUAACGUUGUGGCUUCACUAAAAGCUAUUGCAAAUGACUCUGUAAGCAAACCCAUAGAUUCGCAUGAUUUUACAAAUGAUGAAUACUCAAAAGUUAAAGGCACAGAGAAAAGAGGGUAUGUUCGAUUAGUUGGAAGAAUGCCAGCCAUAAAAAGUAACGGUGAUUCUUCGACUAAUUCACAUACUAUUCAUGAGCUACAGAGUGUUGUGAACGUUAUGAUGAACAUUAUCCAAGAACGUAUCCCCGAUGCAAACUUGCCUAUAGUUCUUAGCAAUAUGAACAUACAGGUCCCUCGCGUUGGUUCUUCGGCUCCUAGCAACUCGUUACCUAGCAAGGAAUUAUGAUCUUCAAGAAGUGACGAUAUUGAUGACAGAGCUGACAACAUGUGAAGCCUUGGAGGAAUAGAGAUAACAAGAUUAAUGAAUUGCUUGGAACUAAGUUUUUUUAGAGUAUGAUUUGUAUCGAAAGAACGUUUUGACUUCUUUUGUAGACAUUCAUUUGUUUGCUAAGAUUUACAGUAUGUUUUGGAUCCAACUUUUAGUUGAAAUUAUGACAUUAUUAUUUU